rnacentral:piRNA from 1 species
UAGUCUAGGGCGUAGAGCUGCGA